rnacentral:rRNA from 1 species
UGCAGUAGCAGGCGUACUGUCUAGAGGAUGGCUGCUCCGCUUUUGCACCCUGCUCUAGGAGGAGGAGGUGGAUGUGGAGUAGGAGUUUGAGGAGGCGGUGGCCGUGGCGGCGACUACGCAUUCGAAUGUCUGCCCUAUCAACUUUCGAUGUUACUUUCUGCGCCUACCAUGGUGACCACGGGUAACAGGGAUUCAGGGUUCGAUUCCAGAGAGGGAGGCUGAGAAAAGGCUACCACAUGCAAGGAAGGCAGCAGGCGCGCAAAUUACCCACUCCCGACGCGGGUAGGUAGUGAUG